AGAUAACACGACAUAACAUCAGUACUGCCCUGGAAAGCCAUUCAGUGAAUUUGACCUAUUGCUACCUCUUUUUCAGUGAGUCUGCCAAAAAAGAGGUGGUUGCUGAAGUGGUAAAAGCCCCGCAGGUAGUUGCCGAAGCAGCAAAAACUGCGAAGCGGAAGCGAGAGAGUGAGAGUGAAAGUGAUGAGACUCCUCCAGCAGCUCCUCAGCUGAUCAAGAAGGAAAAGAAGAAGAGUAAGAAGGACAAGAAGGCCAAAGCUGGUCUGGAGAGUGGGGCCGAGCCUGGAGAUGGGGACAGUGAUAACACCAAGAAGAAGAAGAAGAAGAAGAAAGCAAAAGAGGUAGAAUUGGUUUCUGAGUAGUGAAGGCCACUUGAAGCAUUGUGUCCAGCUGGAGGAGAAACUAAAGCCUUAUUGAG
rnacentral:sRNA from 1 species